rnacentral:lncRNA from 1 species
GAGGGGUGGCCAGCAGAGAGAGGGAGGUGAUUGUUAACCUCUGCUCGGCUCUUGUGAGGCCCCAUCUGGAGAACUGCAUCCAGGCCUGGGGCCCCCAGUACAGGAAGGACGUGGAGCUCUUGGAGUGGGUCCAGAGGAGGACCACUGAGAUGAUCAGAGGGCUGGAGCACCUCUCCUAUGAGGAAAGGUUGAGGGAACUGGGCUUGUUUAGCUUGGAGAAGGCUCUGAGGAGACCUCAUUGCGGCCUUCCAGUACUUGAAGAGAGCGUAUAAAUAGGAAGGGGAACAGCUGUUUACAAGGAUGGAUAGUGAUAGGACAAGGGGGAAUGGUUUCAGACUGAGACAGGGGAGGUUUAGGUUAGAUAUUAGGAGGAAGUUUUUCACACAGAGGGUGGUGACGCACUGGAACAGGUUGCCCAAGGAGGCUGUGGAUGCCCCAUCCCUGGAGGCAUUCAAGGCCAGGCUGGAUGUGGCUCUGGGCAGCCUGGUCUGCUGGUUGACGACCCUGCACAUAGCAGGGGGGGGGGUUGAAACUCGAUGAUCAUUGUGGUCCUUUUCA